AGACAUUGCCUGAAUGUCCCAAAAGCACCAGAUCCCAUCUCCUCUUGGAAGCUAAGCAGGGUCAGCCCUGGUUGGGGCUUGGAUGGGAGACCACCAAGGAGCCACAGGCUCUAUUUCAG
rnacentral:rRNA from 11 species